CUCCCUCUUUCACCAUUCCUACUCCCUUCUUCCCUUCUCCUAUUCCCCUUACCUUUCCUCCCUUUUCCUCCCUUUUCCUCCAGCUGACCCUUGUUUUUGUUUCCCAUUUUUUCUUCACCUGGGUAAUUUUGUCGGGGGGUUGGGGGAAACAUACUGAUACGAUCUCUCUCUCUCUCUCUCUCUCUCUCUCUCUCUCUCUCUCUCUCUCUCUCUCUCUCUCUCUCUCUCUCUCUCUCGAAAAUUGAAGGUGGGGAGAGCAGAGGGGAGGGAGAGGGAGGAGGAGAAAGGGGGAGGUGGUGAUUUGAAGGUGAUGCGACUGUGAUGGCUGUGCUGUGAUAAUGUGCUGAUGAUGAUGAUGGUGAUGGUGACGGUUCAUUCAAUUCUUGUUGGUUUGUCUGAUGUGUGUGUGUGUGUGUGUGUGUGUGUGUGUGUGUGUGUGUGUGUGUGUGUGUUCGCCUUAAUAUUACAUCUUUCCCUCACUUCUUUCCUUUCUCACUUAUUUCUCGUCUGUUUUUUUUUUUUUUUUUAUAGUUCUUCAUUUUUUUCUCUUCCUCAUUUCUUCUUUUAUAUUUUCCCUCGUACAUUUGCUGUGUGUCGCUCAAAUUUCCUUCACUCUUCGUCAUUUCUCUUCCAUAUUUCCUUGACAUAACCUGUCAUCUCUCUCUCUCUCUCUCUCUCUCUCUCUCUCUCUCUCUCUCUCUCUCUCUCUCUCACACACACUUUUUCUUAUCUUUCUUUUCACAAACACCGUAAUCUUUCCCUAUCACCUUCCAUUUACCUAAACAUCACCUGACUGACAUUCUCACCUUCCCCUCUUACUCUCCCCAUCACCUUCUCCCUCUCCCUCUCUCUCUCUCUCUCUCUCUCUCUCUCUCUCUUAAGCAUCCAGGGGCCAGAUCCACGAAACGGUUGCUACUUUUAACAAACUGCGAUCAGCGCCCAUUAUCAACCUCGGACCGCCAUAUGGUAUCCACGAACGCAUAAGAGCUUUACCAGCAAGGAAGCAUGGUUUUGUGAUGCAUAAAGUGAAAUCUUGCAUGGAACACUGAAAACAAAUGAAGAGGCUGAUUUGUCCCACACGUGCGCACUCCCCAUUCCCCCACCCACUAACAAGUGUGUACUGUGAUUACGUAUUGUUUUCGUCGUUUCUUGUGCAUAUAUUGGAUAUUUUCUUAACAUACUACCACGUUCGUGCCUUGAGGCAAGAAAGGCGCUUUCAGGAUCGCCACGACCCCUUGGCAUUGAGUGAUAAUGAGCUCAUGAUCAAAUAUCGCUUCCCGCGGCAGACCUACUAAACCUCUUGUUUGAGGAGAUGCAGGCUCAGCUGGAGAGAAGGACAAGGCAUAGCCAGGCAUUACCAACUCACACCCAGGUUCUGCUGGCCCAGAGACUGUUUGCCAGUGGGCCCUUCCAAAACGUCAUUGGAGACACUGCUGGACCUAUGCAAGCAAGUGUCAGCAGGGUCUUCAAGUGUGUGUGUGCACCGUGUUGAGUGAUAAGUCAGUGCAGGAAAUCAAGAUGCCUCCAACACACCUUGAUCAAAGGAGAACUGCACACCAGUUCUUCAGGAUUAAAAAUUUCCUAACGGUUAUUGGGGCCAUUGAUGGCAGCCACAUUACCAUGAAGGAGCAAAGUGUGGAUGAGGCCCUCUACUUGAACUGGAAAAGGUAUCACUCCCUCUGAACAUCCAACUUGUUUGUGAUGCAAGUGAAGUGAUCCUCAGCUACUGCUCCAGAUUGCCAGGUGCCUGCACUCUUGUGGAGGUGGCUUGCAGUACAGACCCAUCAAGUGUGUCAAAAUAAUUAAUACUUGCCUGCUCCUACACAACUGCUGCAUCAAGUUCCUGAUGACAUACGUACUUGUCACUAUUUUUCUGCUACCACCUCUUGAGGAUGAAACAGUGCCCCAUGCUGAUACCAACCCUGCUGUGCUGUAGAGGGGUCAGUGUGCUUCAGGCAGAAUUGUGUAGCAAGAAAUCAUACAAAACUUCUUCCAGCACUGAAGUAAGGAAGUGAGAUUGUCAAAGUGCCUGGGACAUGUUUUGUACAGCCAGCUGCACCAUCACCAGCUCGUCCAUACUGAGACUAAUCUGCUGUUGGGUUUCCUGUGCUUGAGAGAGAACUUCCAAGUCAGAGUGGCCAUCUGAAAUACAGAUUAGAAGCAAACAUGACUACACCUCAAGUUACAAAUGCAGAUGAUACAGCAUUGUCAAAUCCAGAGGCCCCUGUGGACCCAGCGACACCAGCAGAAGAGGGUUGGAUGGCUCCAACACCACUGCUGGUGGAAGGCUGUGGUCCUAGAGGCCCUGACACUUCUGGAGAAAAAAAAAAAAAAAAAAAAGCUGUCAUUACUGCAGGGUAUGGCAGUCCUGCAAAUGUUGUGUGAGACAACAUCCACAGCAUGACCAACUCCACAGCAGUGUGUGUUGUCUCAUCUGGAGGCCCCCACCUGCAUGGAUAUGAAUGUUGCAAUUAUCACCCACUUAGAAGUUCACAUGUAAAGCCAAAUCAACUUGGUGUAAAUCAUGAAUGCAUUAGAGCACAAUAAUGUUAUCUAGCACUGCAGUGGUCAUUGUCUCAGACCUGACUGCCAGAGGUACUGUACAUACUCCUAUUUAUAAUCCAUUGCUUAGUUGGUUCUUGGUUAUGUUUAUUGACUAUAUGGGUAAAUUUUGUAACAGCACCAAUAAUUAAAUACAUGUACACAAGAGCAAA